GACGUAGGGCGCGAGCGUUGUCCGGAUUUAUUGGGCGUAAAGAGCUCGUAGGCGGCUUGUUGCGUCGACUGUGAAAACCCGCGGCUUAACUGCGGGCUUGCAGUUGAUACGGGCAGGCUAGAGUUCGGUAGGGGAGACUGGAAUUCCAGGUGUAGCGGUGAAAUGCGUAGAUAUCUGGAGGAAUACCGGUGGCGAAGGCGGCAUCCUGGACCGGCAUUGACGCUGAUGAGCGAAAGCUAGGGGAGCAAACGGG
rnacentral:rRNA from 1 species